AGGUAACACGGACCAGGGAAUCUCAAACACAAAGUUUUGAGGCAUGAUGAUAACAAACAAUUAUUGUAAGUGUUAUUAUUUGAUCAAAUUUGGAACAAUAUGUUAAGGGCUCUGUUUGCUUUGGGGAUGGAGUAAUCAAUUAUCUUCUCACUCCUCGCUGGUUUGUGAAAUACAAUAAUGAUUUGAUCCAUCAUGGUCUUAUUUCUCACAAAUUAAAAAUUAGUACAGACAUGAGGGUUAUAACCAAUCUACCAAAAUUAUAGAAUGAACUCAUAAUGCAUCACCAUAUUUUAAGAUAUAAAUGUGAGCAUAUAACUAGAACACAAAUCUAAUAAUGGUAAAUGUAAACAUGGCACUUUGUAUUGACAGCAUGUCAGCGAUAGAACUUACAGAGGAGCAUGAAGAGCCGUGCAUUUGUAGUAUAUGUAGGGGUAGUACUAGGAUGUAACCGUGUGAAUAAUGUACUUGGCAUGAUGAAAUGGGACAACCAAAGAAGGAAUUAGCAAAGUCGUAUUGGAACAAUAGUCAUAUAUACUAUAUAUAUAGUAAGUAUAUAUAAAGGGCAAGGAAUGCCAAAGAAAAAAACUAUGAUAUAGUAAAAAAAAAGUAUAACAGAGUCA
rnacentral:lncRNA from 1 species